AGAUGCUGAUACAAAAGCAGCUUGCCUGCAGCAUCUAAAGUGGAAACAUCGUGAAGGAAAGAGCAGAAGAUCGGUAAUCAGGCGUGUCUCCCCCUCCUGGAGCAGUGCUGGUGUUGCACUCGUUGCUUUUUGAGUUUCCAGCUGCUAACCUACAGUGUAGGAGAAACCAUAGAGCGCUCUGAGGAUGAGCUGGACACGGUGCCCACUUCUGUGCUCAUUCAGGUCGUGGAGCUGGUAG
rnacentral:lncRNA from 1 species